rnacentral:rRNA from 1 species
GCCNUUCCGCGUGCAGGACGAAGGCCUUCGGGUUGUAAACUGCUUUUGUACGGAACGAAAAGGUCUCUAUUAAUACUAGGGGCUCAUGACGGUACCGUAAGAAUAAGCACCGGCUAACUACGUGCCAGCAGCCGCGGUAAUACGUAGGGUGCAAGCGUUAAUCGGAAUUACUGGGCGUAAAGCGUGCGCAGGCGGUUAUAUAAGACAGAUGUGAAAUCCCCGGGCUCAACCUGGGAACUGCAUUUGUGACUGUAUAGCUGGAGUGCGGCAGAGGGGGAUGGAAUUCCGCGUGUAGCAGUGAAAUGCGUAGAUAUGCGGAGGAACACCGAUGGCGAAGGCAAUCCCCUGGGCCUGCACUGACGCUCAUGCACGAAA